rnacentral:lncRNA from 1 species
AACAUACAAACAUCCAACAGUUUUAUAUUCAUACACCAUUCACCACAGGUUCAUUCACAUAGUCUUAAUCAUGAAUCCACAUCUAUCAGUUAAAAUGAUUCCUAUCCGGAAACUGGUUUUGAAAUACUAAGUUACAAAAACCACGAGAAAGCUGUUUGAAAGCCGUUAUUCAUAAGGAAAAUCUUUUCUUUUAAAACAUGCUAUCACGAGGGAUAGAAAACCUUUCCAUUUCAUGAAAAUCCAAAAAUCAUUGUCUCAUUCAGAAAACCAACUGAAAUCUUGAAUAUUUUAACAUAAUGAAAUACUGAACCAUAUAAACCGACUAAGCUAUAUAUCAAUAGAAAUAAUAAGGGUAAAAACUAAACCGAAUAAUCUGGGUCGGAAGCUCUAUCGACCGCUACGAACGUACCUCACGUCUCGUCUCAACCUCACCGCCCGCAAUACCUGAAAAAUGGUGGGCGAUGUGAGAACAUGUAAACAUGUCUUCCCUCCCAGUGGGUAGCGCAAGCCGAUGAAGGCGAGGAGUACUCACCGGAUCAGGAAGAGAUAAACAACAAUAUGGGUAAGUGUAAUACUAAAUACAGUAGCAACAAUAAUGAACGAAAGAGAUAGAACUAUAAAUGAAAGCACAACUACCGCUACUGUAAUGAACAACUGAAAGUAUAUAUGCAGCUAAACUAUAGUAGCAAGACAAGUGUAAAGAAAGAACUGAAGGUAUACAAACAACAACCGCUACUAUAGUUAUAUGCGUCAAUCGGUCAAGAAGUCCAAAUAUACCCAAUCUGAAAUCUGCUGUUCUAUUGGUCCGCAGCGCAAACCUCAAGCCUAUGCCACUACUACUCUCCCAUGCAUAUAACCCCUCUAGGGCUCACGGGUUGACACCUACAACCACUUUUCCGGAAAAGAACACUCCUUGCGGUGGUCAUCCACUGCUCACCCAUGCUGCCAACAGCAGCCGCAACAACCCAGAAUACAUAAAAGCCCUCCCGAUUACCCGAAAUCGCAUUAUUUCAUGCGAUUUCGACGCUUUUAUGGUCCGUCUACACAAACCAGAAGUCAAUCAUCCAAACCGAGACACCCGCUGACAGGUCUCGGUGUGAUGGAGGCCAUGCUCACCUUUUGGAGCAAUUUCGGCCACUGCGGCAAGAGCGCGAGCGACACGAACUUCAGCGAAACUGCGCGCUGAAACUAAAAAUGCUUCAAAUUCACUCAUCCGGGGGUCUUUGACCUUAAAUGAGGUGAGCACUGUGAUCAACACUGACCGACGAUCACCGUGCUCACCUCCGGAGGCAUCAGAACAGCCUCAGGUCGCCGGAACAUUGAUCCCAAACCGAAACAAUGCACAGAACAACAAAAACAUUGCUUACCGGCCGGGGCAGAGCUAGGGCUGGCCGGCGGCGGCCGGAUGGCGGGCGCUCCGGCCGAGGACGAGCGCGGCCGGUCAAUGGGGUCCAGGGCAGGUGCUGGCCAGCGGCGGGAGGCGGCCGGUGGCGCGGCGGCUGCGAUCCAAUCCGCCAAGUUGCUCUCGGGUUCAAGGGCGCCGGCGGCAAGGCGACGGCCGGAGGAGGUCAGGGCGACGUCAAUCCGUCGGCGGAGGCCGAGGGUAUCAUGAUACGCCCCUCCGUGGGCGGCGGCGUCGUGCGGUGGCCGAGGUGGCUCGGCCUAGGCCCGCACCAGCUCUGGACAGCCGCAGAGUGGAAGAGCGGCGGCCGACGGCUUCGGGGACGUCCGUGGAUGAACGCCGGAGGUCGCCGGAGGUGUCUGGAGGGCGGCACUGCCGGCGGGGAGCAGCGGCACCGCGCGGAUGCCGAGAUCACCCAAGCUCGGUCUGGGUGAUCGCGGUUGGCCGCAAGGAGCUAGGGCGGCUCCGUCGGCGCUUUGGGACGGCGGGGCCGCGGGCGACGGCGAGCGGGAUGUCGCCAGAAGGCGGCGCGGCCGAUGGGGGCCGGUAGCCGCACACGAAACCCGAGAUCGAGCCUGCUCGGUCUGGGCUGACCCGAGCUGGCUGCAGCUUGCUCAGCUGGCUCCAGCGGCACGUGCUGACGACGGAAACGUCCGGUGAUGGUACCGGACGUUGGUCUCGGCCAGGGGAUGGUGACGCUCUGACUUAGAUGACUCCUUGAGACCCCAACCACAACGUGGUGGAGUGGUUGGCCGAACGGGAGGGAGAGGGUAGUGCGGAAGGGUUUUCCGGUGGUCGGAGAGGCUUGCCGGCGGUCAGGGCGCGCGCACGGUUGGGCAGGGAUGCAGGUGGGGCGGCUAGGGUUCAGUUCGGCUAAAGAGAAGGCCAAAAGCUAGGGUUUCCUCAUGAAACCCUAGUGCAACUACUAUAUACAUAUGUACAUUUUGCAAGAUAGUCCUCCCAGGGAUAAUAUUCUCAGUCAAGUCCUUCACAGCUCACGUAUUUUACACAUACGCACCUCCACGUCCGAUCUCACGCGAUUCGGCACAUAAAAUAUAGGGUCUCUUCGUGAUUUAUCCGUUUUGCCAAUUUGACCCCUCAGUGGACCUUUCGCGUUUCCCAUAGAUCCGUCCGUCAGAUUUGCGAACGGAUCGCACUAGUGCGAUCAGCACAACGGAGACAAUAAACCUACGAUUUUGAUUCACAUCGAUCGGUCAUGGAUUCGCGACGAAACCUGUCCGCUCUCCAAUUUCCAAAAAACCACACACAUAUACCAAUGUGUAAUCCCACUAAAUCCUAGAUUCAAAUUCAAAUUUGAAUCUCCUACUACUAGUAGGUACAUGUAACAUCACUCACCUUACUCUAGGUCACAUACGCAGAGCACGAGGAGUCUCAUUAUGCAAGAACAGCAAAGAGCGAAAACCCUCUUUUCGAUAAAAUCCCUUUUUCUCGAAAAUCGUGCAUCAGAUCUGAAAUCCGUCAGUGCCAUUGGUUCCAGAAUAGCUGAACUGGUCGAAACGAGCUAUUGGAUCGCUAUGAACGGAGUCCGAUACGCGCCGAAAGCCAACUCUACUCUGUGGCUUCUCCGAAAAAUCAGAGUUACUAUUCAUUUAAGUAAAAACUAAAAAUCGCGUAUCUUCUCCAUUUUAGCUCAUUUUCUCCUGAAACUUUACGAGUGCUUAUAUAAUUAAAUUACACAUAGGAACAUCAUCAACAGAGAGUCUAAUUACAUUGCCAAAAUCUCAGUCCUUACAUUAUCCCCCCUUUAAAUGAAGUUUCGUCCCCGAAACUUGACCACGUACCCACCGAAAUAGAAUUCAGAUAUUACUCCACCACUACAAUAUCACCCUUGAGUACUGGUCAAUCACAAAUCCUUGAAUUGGGCAAAUCAAUCUCCGAAUAAGGGAAGAAUAGGACCACGGCUCCACUCGGACAAAAACGAGGGAAAAACGUACCAACCCAAAAUCUACGGACCAAAACUCACCGGGAUCAACACCAUCCUAUAACCUGCGGAAAAAAACAGUCCCACUGCCAGGAUUCGUCGAUCCUAACUUUGCCAAUUCUGAGAUAACACUUCAACACUCAGAAAUUCUAGGUCCACUCAACCUUGAUCCGCAUACCAGUAACCGACUCGACUACGUCGCAAGUUCACGUAGAAAAGUCACGAGACACAACUACUAAUCUGGAGUCUAUUUACGUAGACUAAAAUGAAAUACUCCGACUAGCCCACAACAUCAACCUGCUCACCACGAGCGAAUACAAAACGUUGUUCUAUGACCUGAGUCGAAACUCUCACCUUGGAGACCACAGUCUCCCACCAAUAACCACACAAACUGCCAAAACCUCCAUCACCUGCCACAAUCUAUAGUCCUAGGUCCAAGACCUCACUUUCCACCUGACUAACAGGUCCAACUGACGAUACCAUUCGGGCUAGACAAUUUUGUCUCCUCAAACUUAACCAGUACCAACAGACCACUGAAAGCUCUUUGCAAGUCCAUCACUUGAUGCACAGGUCACCAAUCACAAAAGCGAUACUAACCGUCGGCGAUGCUCAACAUUUGUCUCCACGAGACCCUGUCGCUGCCGUCCAACCAGGGACCCUAGCGAUUGAUGUUCCGAGCAAUACCAAAAACAUGUCUCAUUGAGACCUAGGCGCACCUGUCACCUGUUUGACUGGACAAGCAUACUAUUUCUUGGUUUGCACGUUAAGCCGAGUCGCAAACCAUAUAUUCUAUCACAUACGAUGACAAUCAAAGCCAACAACCAGGCUAAAGUCACGCAACAACUGUAAUUCAGAACCGCCUAGCAAAAGGCCGAGACUAACAACCAAGGCAAACCUUUAGUUGUGGAAGGCACAACAAUAGAACCAACGAUCACCUAGACUCGAACCAAAGUAAAAACCAUCAGCAGUGACAGUAAGUCAACUGUGCAAAACCUGCCAGGGAAAUAAUCCAAGGCUCGCCAUAUGGUCAGAGAUGACCAUCACUCUAGCUUUUCCCACAAAACAGUCUAGAGAACACAUCGACCCAAUCCAUAAGUGCCAAACGGGAAGAUAGUAUUUCGUCCCUCUUUCGACAGUAUAUUGUCUGCAGCCAAUAUACUUAUCAAAAGAAAAGCGAAAUAUCCGAAGAUCCACUACCAACAACAAGUUGGAAGCACAACGCGUUAAAGUAUCAAGCCACUUGAUACCUCUCCACUGAACCAGAAGCUCACACCCAAAACCGUCGAAACAUCGACUUUGCAAGCCGACAUUCGAAAUCAGCCCGACCUUGAACCAACUCACAGGGAGUUUCAUAGUUUCAAUAUCUGAAAGCCACUAGCGACACUAAACCGCGAACCACACGGACUGAGGCUGUAAGAAAUGGUUUCUCUAACUAAUUUCCGCACCACAACCGAACUAUACCCAAGCUCCGAGAACUCCGACACUACCCAAGAGUAUCUCGAAUCAAAACAAACUCUACCACAAACCACAGACUAACCUACAACACACCAAUUUAGGUGUUAGAACAAUAGCAUACGAUGUAUGCAUCAACGAAAACCUGACACCAAACUGUGUCAAUCCGACUCUAGUGCACGUCAAUUUGACAAAAGAACUAGUUCAAGGUCAAAAGAUCCAAACCGCUGAUUCCAAUCAGCAAUCAAGGAGGAGAGGUAGGCAUCGCAACCCUACCCAAAGAUCUGCGGAAGCAAUACUAACAAUGCAGUCACCUAAAAGACCGCUAACCAAACCCUGGGCUAGGCCCUAGUAGCCCCACUGAAGUCACGAUCGUAACUGAUCACAGUGCCAUCUCCGUAGAGACACUCUCAACAGCUCUCGUGUCCUAAGUAGAGAGAGUGGCCUGAGCGUCGGCAGUUAUAACACUCGCCUAGGCUCGAAAUCUUACUUGGCCCUUCAAGGCCCCACCUGACAGGAGUGGCAACACCUGGGGAAUGUCGCCCCACCAUUCGAUGUCAGAAUAAGUACACCGCCACUACUCCCGACUUAGACACGAGCUUGUGCGAACCGUAACACAUACAGAAACACCAUGCACUUUGAGUUUACCAAACUCAAAUGCAGCCCAAGACACAAGUCCAAACCCCGCACUCACGUGCCUAUAUACCGUAGGUCUUUCUAUGGGUCAACCUAACCAAUGAUUCAGUUUCAUUUACUUUUCAAAACAACCUGUGAAUGGUAUUGUGGUUGUAACUUGGCUCUGAUACCACUUUAAUCUGUCACGCCUCGGGGUCCCUUUUAGUUUGAAACACAGCGGAAAAGUGUCUAAUUUUUUUUUUUUUUUAAAGCCUAACCCCAGGGUAUGCCAGAUCCGCCACAAAUACAGGGAUUCCACUGUUCACGCGGACAGAAUCUCCCCUAUAUUUGCACGGCAUUGCACAAGUACAAGAGUACAAACAUAAUACAACCACAACUAAAUAAACAUAUAAAUAUCCAACAGUUUUAUAUUCAUACACCAUUCACCACAGGUUCAUUCACAUAGUCUUAAUCAUGAAUCCACAUCUAUCAGUUAAAAUAAUUUCUAUCUGGAAACUGGUUUUGAAAUACUAAGUUACAAAAACCACGAGAAAGCUGUUUGAAAGCCGUUAUUCAUAAGAAAACUCUUUUCUUUUAAAACACGCUACCACGAUGGGUAGAAAACCUUUCCAUUUCAUGAAAAUCCAAAAAUCAUUGUCUCAUUCAGAAAACCAACUGAAAUCUUGAAUAUUUUAACACAAUGAAAUACUGAACCAUAUAAAUCGACUAAGCUAUAUAUCAAUAGAAAUAAUAAGGGUAAAAACUAAACCGAAUAAUAUGGGUCGGAAGCUCUAUCGACCGCUACGUACGUAUCUCGCGUCUCAUCCCAAUACACAACGGCUGCGAUACCUGAAAAAUGGUGGGGGAGGUGAGAACAUGUAAACAUGUCUCCCCUCCCAGUGGGUACCGCAAGCUGAUGAAGGCGAGGAGUACUCACCGGAUCAGGAAGAGAUAAACAACAAUAUGGGUAAGUGUAAUACUAAAUACAGUAGCAACAAUAAUGAAUGAAAGAGAUAGAACUAUAAAUGAAAGCACAACUACCGCUACUGUAAUGAACAACUGAAAGUAUAUAUGCAGCUAAACUAUAGUAGUAAGACAAGUGUAAAGAAAGAACUGAAGGUAUACAAACAACAACCGCUACUAUAGCUAUAUGCGUUAAUCGGUCAAGAAGUACAAAUAUACCCAAUCUGAAAUCUGCUGCUCUAUUGGUCCGCAACGCAAACCUCAAACCUAUGCCACUACUACUCUCCCAUGCAUAUAACCCCUCUAGGGCUCACGGGUUGACACCUGCAACCACUUUUCCGGAAAAGAACACUCCUUGCGGUGGAUCAGACCGCCAGUGUUCGUGAAAUGCGACGAGUAUCGGGCGGUCAAUGCUGAUAAGCUCAAAGGCCAAACGUCGGCAACCAGCCGACAAUCCUGCCCACAGGGCUCAUCGACCGUAUAGGUCAUCAACUGUAAGGAAGCACAAGAACUGACCACUCAGGUCAACUAGGAUGGGACAACAUCAAUAUCCUCUCAAACAUAUGCAAAUACUGCUCAAUGAACCACAAGGACUGACCACUCAGAUCAACUAGGAUAUAUGCACAACGAAUCGACGAAUAGGUCAUCAGGGUGUAUCAAUAGAAUCCAGAACUACCGUCGGCCACUAGCCAACAAUCCAACCCCUCUAGGGUACAU